GUAGGUGAACCUGCGGAAGGAUCAUUACAGAGUUCAUGCCCUCACGGGUAGAUCUCCCACCCUUGAAUAUUAUACCUUCGUUGCUUUGGCAGGCCGUGGAAACACCAUGGGCUCCGGCUGAUGCGUGCCUGCCAGAGGAAACAAAACUCUGUUUGUCUAUAAUGUCUGAGUACUAUAUAAUAGUUAAAACUUUCAACAACGGAUCUCUUGGUUCUG
rnacentral:misc_RNA from 1 species